rnacentral:misc_RNA from 1 species
AAGCUGCGAUAAGUAAUGUGAAUUGCAGAACUCAGUGAAUCAUCGAGUCUUCGAACGCACAUUGCGCCCCCCGGCACUCCGGGGGGCACGCCUGUCCGAGCGUCGUCGAACGUCCCCUCGGGGCCCUGCCCAUCCGUGGUGGGGCCCUGGCCUUGGGCCUACCCAGUCGCCCGUUGGUGGGCGGGCCCGCAAGCCAUGGAUCGGUCAUCCCUGGGAGCCCCGAGCGCAGCGGCUGUCCCAGGCUCGAGGAGGCCCCCGGGGAAUCGACCGGUCGAAAACCCCCCGUGCAUCGCGUUUUGACCUCGGAUCAGGCGGGGUUACCCGCUGAACUUAAGC